UACGUAGGGUGCAGGCGUUAAUCGGAAUUACUGGGCGUAAAGCGUGCGCAGGCGGUUUCUUAAGUCAGAUGUGAAAGCCCCGGGCUUAACCUGGGAACUGCGUUUGAAACUGGGAGACUUGAGUGUGGCAGAGGGGGGUGGAAUUCCACGUGUAGCAGUGAAAUGCGUAGAUAUGUGGAGGAACACCGGUGGCGAAGGCGGAUCUCUGGGCCAUUACUGACGCUGAGGAGCGAAAGCGUGGGGAGCGAACAGG
rnacentral:rRNA from 1 species